GACAGAGGGUGCAAACGUUGCUCGGAAUCACUGGGCGUAAAGGGCGCGUAGGCGGGAAUGUAAGUCGGGCGUGAAAUCCCCAGGCUCAACCUGGGAACUGCACUCGAAACUGCGUUUCUUGAGUAUCGGAGAGGAAAGCGGAAUUCCUGGUGUAGAGGUGAAAUUCGUAGAUAUCAGGAAGAACACCCGUGGCUAAGGCGGCUCUCUAGUACGGUACUGACGCUGAGACGCGAAAGCGUGGGGAGCGAACAGG
rnacentral:rRNA from 1 species